GAACCUUCAGAUUUCAGAUUUGAUUAGGGUUUUAGCGUCUUCGGACCAGGCUUCAUUCCCCCCAAUUGUUGCUCCCUGUUUACUCCAUAUUUCUUCCUUCUUUUCAAAUUAGGGUUUCAGAUCCAGUGGAUGAACCCUUGUUAAAGGUUUGAUCUCUUACCUUACUUUCUCAGAUUCAUUUACAUGCGUUAUUGAUUGUUUGCAUGGAAAGAAAUAGUUUUCUUUUUUAAAUAGGUCUUUGGGGACCGAUAGAAAAAAAAAGUUUUCAGGUAUUUGCAGAUUGGUGUAAUGAUGAAAGAAUCUGACUUUCUUUCUCCUCUUGGAAUCUGAAAAGUUUCAUCAUGACAAACUUUUUAUACAUGUGUUUGUAUUUUUGAACUUUUCUACAUUGCUAUGAUUUUGCUAUGAUUGUUUCUUUUUGGAUCUUCAUGGUAUUGAAUGAUGAUGACGAUGAUAGUUUUUAUUCA
rnacentral:precursor_RNA from 1 species